rnacentral:sRNA from 1 species
AAGCGGUGGCUCCACUGGAGGAAAACACACCCCGGUCUCACAUUAAAGAAGCCAAACUGUCGGCUUCAAAGAGAAAAGGCAACAUCCUGUCACAGGCCAUGCUCUGGCAAAAACGCGAUGGAGCAGCGGCAGCCUAUCCUUUCUGGGACAAUGGCAGCUGACCCUGUUGUGAGUGCUCUGUGGAUGAGAGCAGCCACAGCUCCGGAGCAAGCCCCAGCCCCGGCCCGGCCAUACCAGGGCGUCCGUGUGAAGGAGCCAGUGAAGGAACUGCUGAGGAGGAAGCGAGGCCACGCCAGCAGUGGGG